GGCCCCACUAUGCUCAACCGUUAACAAAGAUGGGACCCCCACACCCCCAUCCGCCAGAGAAUUACAAGCAACACUCAAAACUCAAAGGACUUGACGGUGUCCCAAACCAACCUAGAGGAGCCUGUCCUAUAAUCGAUACCCCACGCUACACCUUACCCCCCCUUGUAAACCAGUCUGUAUACCGCCGUCUACCAGUCCGCCUUAUGACAGACCAAUAGCGAACAAACCAGCCCACCACUUAUACGACAGGUCAAGGUGCAGCCAACGGGGGGGCAGAGAUGGGCUACAUUUUCUACCCCACCAGAAUAUCACCACCCGCCAAAUGAAACAUAGGCCCAAAGGCGGAUCUAGCAGUAAGCCAGACAAGAACGCCUGACUGAAAACCCGCUCUGGGACGCGCACACACCGCCC
rnacentral:rRNA from 1 species